rnacentral:rRNA from 1 species
UACGAAGGGUGCAAGCGUUGCUCGGAAUCAUUGGGCGUAAAGCGAGCGCGGGUGGUCUUGUAAGUCAGGAGUGAAAGCCCAGGGCUUAACCCUGGAAGUGCUUUUGAUACUGCAAGACUUGAAUGUGGGAGAGGGUCCUAGAAUACCUAGUGUAGUGGUGAAAUACGUAGAUAUUAGGUGGAACUCCGGUGGCGAAGGCGGGGACCUGGCCCAACAUUGACACUUAGGCUCGAAAGCGUGGGGAUCAAACAGG